UUUUAUGGCCGCGAUCCGAGUCGUACAAAAACGGCGCGUUUAUAACGGCCAGCUGAACAGUAGUACUCAAUAGUAAGGUGAAUGUAGAAGCAGAAUGUGGCACGAUGCCCGUCGUGCUCCAAUGGACGACCAACUCCACGAACAAUUGUUCCCGAGUGAAUAAAUAAGACCGAAGAGAAACGUUCGUCUUGAAGAUAACUAUACAGUCACCAGUGCUAGUACCAGCGAAAAACGGCCAUUGAAAUUUAAUUAAAUUCCUGCAUUUACAGCAGAACCAUCAGCUAGACAGGCCGUUCAAGUGAAAUCGCGCACGUUGCUUGCCCUUAUACUUUCAUGUGAAAUAAACUCCGUCUACAUAUUCUAUGUUUGAAAGGCCUCGCUCAUUGACUGCAGGGAGUUUCCCUAAUUCGCAACGCUUAUGGCAAUACUAGCAGCAUCCGCUGUUCCUGAGGUCUGUUUUGGAAGAAAAAUGUUAACGAAAUCGUAAUUGCGGGACACCGGACACUAAGGCGAAUCAUUCUCAGCUUUAAGGUUACUUUGCUAACGAGUCGCGAACAACAGCGACAUUAACAGUAACUCAGAAUGUUUACGGAUUGUCUGCAGUUAUGACUACGGGAUUACAUCGUAUGACCGAAAAACUGCAUAUUUAAGGUUGCUUUCUUUACUACAUCCGUCCUGAAGUAACAAGGUCAGCAUUUCCUGGGGGGUGGCUUCAGGUCUUCAAUGCUAAAGGCGAAUGAGAGACUACGUUUCUAAGCCGUACAAGGAGGAUAACAUGGAUUUAUUGUGUAAAAAUUUUUACCUAGCCUACUCAAUACCUCCGUGCGCAAUUAAGAGUUAUUUCCCGCAUCGUCCAAAAUUACCUGCAUCCGCCAGAAGAGGUUUUGAAGACAAGGAGAAAUUCGAUUCGCAGGAACCCAGCAGAGGUGGCAUUCUCGAUGGUAUAAACAUCAUAUGCAUCUCGCGGCACGGGAAAAGGAGUCAUUUCGUACACCCACCCGGUCGGUAUCGGAAAGGAAAAACGAUGUUUAACGAAAAUUUGGUUGUAUAAAAAAUCUUACGAGGUUAAAGACUGGUCGAUGUUUUUGUUGUAAAACAACAUUUAGCCAUACGUGACUUUAGCGGCCUUGAGAAUUAAGCGACCUUGACCUUAAACGGAAUUCUUUUGCAGCCAGUCUUUCAACCCAGAUUGUGAACCCGUGAACGCCUUCUUAGUUCGCUAGAGAGCCUGUUUAGUGUUCGCAUGGUAGAGAAAGGCUAUUAGAAACCAAAAAAAAAUGCAUGUAUAAACAUUAAGCAGCCUUUAAUAUAAAUACAAAAAAUGAAAUUACUUUCUGACCAAUAUAAUAUUUUCUAGAUAUAUAAGGUAAAGAUGGUUCUAUCUAGAUCGUUCUAAUAUUAUUAUUAUAUUGCUAUCACAACAAAAAACAAGAUUAGGUUAGAUACAAGCAAGUUGCCAGCGGGCAUAAUGGAGCCUAGAGGGCGUCUCAAAUAUGAUAUUUGACACAGGCAGCUAUCUACGAAUUAUUAAUAGUAAAUUAAACCUAGGACACCUGCCUUUGUUUAAUAUUCUUUAGCUAAAAAAAUUUUUUCUACAAGCCGUUAUAAUUUUUGGAUCAGUCAUGUCAAACGUCAUGACAAGUUACACUAACAAGUCUUAAUACCGCUCUAGAGAUACAAUAACAAAUCGCACUCAUUUCAUCAAAUGGGUCAGUUCUAUGAAUAAUGAUCCUGUGGUUGUAGGCCACUAAACAAUAUUUUUCAAUCUCUAAGUUAUCUCGUUAUUGUUAGUGGUAAGUUUCGUAGAUUUAACUAAUAUUUGGUAAAAAAAAAAUCAAAAUAAAAUUUGC